GACGAACGCUGGCGGCGUGCUUAACACAUGCAAGUCGAACGGAAAGGCCCUGCUUUCCGUGUUCUCGCGUGGCGAACGGGCGAGUAACACGCGGGUGAUUUGCCCUGCUCUUCGGGUUAAGUCUCUGCAACUGGGCCUAAUACCUGCCAUGACCUUCCUUGUAGCGCGGGGGUCGGUAAGAUUUAGCGGUGUGGGAUGGGCUUGUGGCCUAUCCGCUUGUUGGUGGGGUAAUGGCCUACCAAGGCGUCGACGGGUAGCCGGCAUGAGAGGGUGGACGGCCACAUUGGGACUGAGGUACGGACCAGACUGCAACGGGAGGCAGCAGUGGGGAGUAUUGCACAAUGGGCGGAAGCCUGAUGCAGCGACGCCGCGUGGGGGAUGACGGCCUUCGGGUUGUAAACCACUUUCGACAGGGACGAAGCUUCGGUGACGGUACCUGUAGAAGAAGCACCGGCUAACUACGUG
rnacentral:rRNA from 1 species